rnacentral:rRNA from 1 species
GCGUGAAUGAUGAAGGCCUUCGGGUUGUAAAGUUCUUUUGGGUGGGACGAUAAUGACGGUACCACCAGAAUAAGCUCCGGCUAACUUCGUGCCAGCAGCCGCGGUAAUACGAAGGGAGCUAGCGUUGUUCGGAAUUACUGGGCGUAAAGGGUGCGUAGGCGGUUUGAUAAGUCAGAUGUGAAAGCCCCGGGCUUAACCCGGGAACUGCGUUUGAGACUGUCAAGCUUGAAUUCGGAAGAGGUGAGUGGAAUUCCCAGUGUAGAGGUGAAAUUCGU